GAUGAAGAACGUAGCGAAAUGCGAUACGUAAUGUGAAUUGCAGAAUUCAGUGAAUCAUCGAGUCUUUGAACGCACAUUGCGCCCAUAGGUAUUCCUUUGGGCAUGUCUGUUUGAGCGUCAUUACAACCCUCAGCGCAAGCUGGUUAUGAGUUGGGCUUGAAAACACCUUGGACCGCAAGGUCGAGGUGGAAUCCCCCCGGCUUUAAAGUUGUAUGCUCUGCUGGCUGCUUUGCCUGACCAAAACAUAGUAAAACUACGACUGUUUAGAACGGCUUUGCGUGCUCGGCCUGAAUAAAACCACAAAUUUUCUUAGGCUUGACCUCAGAUCAGACAAGGAUACCCGCUGAACUUAAGCAUAUCAAUAAGCGGAGGA
rnacentral:misc_RNA from 1 species